GACGAACGCUGGCGGCGUGCCUAAUACAUGCAAGUAGAACGCAGUUGCGAACGGGUGAGUAAUAUAUAGCUAAUCUGCCCCUUGCUGGAGGACAACAGUUAGAAAUGACUGCUAAUACUCCAUAGCAAGGGAUGAGACUAUCACGUAUCAGCUAGUCGGUGGGGUAACGGCCUACCGAGGCUAUGACGCGUAACUGGUCUGAGAGGAUGAUCAGUCACAUUGGAACUGAGACACGGUCAAAACUCCUACGGGAGUGAGCAGUAGGGAAUAGUGCGAAAUGGGGGAAACCCAGACGCAGCAACGCCGCGUGGAGGAUGACACUUUUCGGAGCGUAAACGCCUUUUGUUAGGGAAGCGGUACCUAACGAAUAAGCACCGGCUAACUCCGUGCCAGCAGCCGCGGUAAUAC
rnacentral:rRNA from 1 species